UUUUAUUUGAGAGUUUGAUCCUGGCUCAGGAUGAACGCUGGCGGCGGGCCUAACACAUGCAAGUUGAGCGAUUUACUUCGGUAAAGAGCGGCGGACGGGUGAGUAACGCGUGGGUAACCUACCCUGUACACACGGAUAACAUACCGAAAGGUAUGCUAAUACGGGAUAAUAUAU
rnacentral:rRNA from 1 species